UACGUAGGUGGCAAGCGUUGUCCGGAUUUACUGGGCGUAAAGGGCGUGCAGGCGGUUUGUUAAGUGCAGGGUGAAAGCUCCCGGCUCAACUGGGAGAGGUCCUUGCAUACUGGCAAACUCGAGGGAGGCAGAGGAAAGUGGAAUUCCCGGUGUAGUGGUGAUAUGCGUAGAUAUCCGGAGGAACACCGGUGGCGAAGGCGGCUUCCUGGACCGACACUGACGCUGAGGCGCGAAAGCUAGGGGAGCAAACGGG
rnacentral:rRNA from 1 species